rnacentral:rRNA from 1 species
GACGAACGCUGGCGGCGUGCUUAACACAUGCAAGUCGAACGGAGUCCAUGCAGUAGCAAUACUGCGGAAGGCUUAGUGGCGAACGGGUGAGUAACACGUGAGGAACCUGCCCUGGUCUCCGGGAUAACAGUUGGAAACAGCUGCUAAUACCGGAUGACGUCGGACCGUCGCAUGGCGGACUGACGAAAGGGUUACCGGAUCAGGAGGGCCUCGCGUCCUAUCAGCUUGUUGGUGGGGUAACGGCCGUACCAAGGCAUCGACGGGUAGCUGGUCUGAGAGGAUGAUCAGCCACACUGGGACUGAGACACGGCCCAGACUCCUACGGGAGGCAGCAGUGGGGAAGUCUUGCGCAAUGGGCGAAAGCCUGACGCAGCAACGCCGCGUGC